rnacentral:rRNA from 1 species
AGUGAACGCUGGCGGUAGGCCUAACACAUGCAAGUCGAACGGCAGCACAGUAAGAGCUUGCUCUUACGGGUGGCGAGUGGCGGACGGGUGAGGAAUACAUCGGAAUCUACUUUUUCGUGGGGGAUAACGUAGGGAAACUUACGCUAAUACCGCAUACGACCUACGGGUGAAAGCAGGGGAUCUUCGGACCUUGCGCGAUUGAAUGAGCCGAUGUCGGAUUAGCUAGUUGGCGGGGUAAAGGCCCACCAAGGCGACGAUCCGUAGCUGGUCUGAGAGGAUGAUCAGCCACACUGGAACUGAGACACGGUCCAGACUCCUACGGGAGGCAGCAGUGGGGAAUAUUGGACAAUGGGCGCAAGCCUGAUCCAGCCAUACCGCGUGGGUGAAGAAGGACUUCGGGUUGUAAAGACCUUUUGUUGGGAAAGAAAAGCAGCAGGUUAAUACCCCGCUGUUCUGACGGUACCCAAAAAAUAAGCACCGGCUAACUUCGUG